rnacentral:rRNA from 1 species
UACAGAGGUCCCAAGCGUUGUUCGGAUUCACUGGGCGUAAAGGGUGCGUAGGCGGUCGGGUAAGUCUGACGUGAAAUCUCCGGGCCUAACCCGGAAACUGCGUCGGAUACUAUCCGGCUAGAGGAUUGGAUGGGAGACUGGAAUACUUGGUGUAGCAGUGAAAUGCGUAGAUAUCAAGUGGAACACCAGUGGCGAAGGCGAGUCUCUGGACAAUUCCUGACGCUGAGGCACGGAAGCCAGGGGAGCAAACGGG